UACGUAGGGACCAAGCGUUGUUCGGAUUUACUGGGCGUAAAGGGCGCGUAGGCGGCGUGGUAAGUCACUUGUGAAAUCUCUGAGCUUAACUCAGAACGGCCAAGUGAUACUGCUGUGCUAGAGUGCAGAAGGGGCAAUCGGAAUUCUUGGUGUAGCGGUGAAAUGCGUAGAUAUCAAGAGGAACACCUGAGGUGAAGACGGGUUGCUGGCUGACACUGACGCUGAGGCGCGAAAGCCAGGGGAGCAAACAGG
rnacentral:rRNA from 1 species